GAUGAACGCUGGCGGCGUGCCUAAUACAUGCAAGUCGAGCGAACGGACGAGAAGCUUUCUUCUCUGAUGUUAGCGGCGGACGGGUGAGUAACACGUGGAUAACCUACCUAUAAGACUGGGAUAACUUCGGGAAACCGGAGCUAAUACCGGAUAAUAUUUUGAACCUCAUGGUUCAAAAGUGAAAAACGGUCUUGCUGUCACUUAUAGAUGGAUCCGCGCUGCAUUAGCUAGUUGGUAAGGUAACGGCUUACCAAGGCAACGAUGCAUAGCCGACCUGAGAGGGUGAUCGGCCACACUGGAACUGAGACACGGUCCAGACUCCUACGGGAGGCAGCAGUAGGGAAUCUUCCGCAAUGGGCGAAAGCCUGACGGAGCAACGCCGCGUGAGUGAUGAAGGUCUUCGGAUCGUAAAACUCUGUUAUUAGGGAAGAACAUAUGUGUAAGUAACUGUGCACAUCUUGACGGUACCUAAUCAGAAAGCAACGGCUAACUACGUG
rnacentral:rRNA from 1 species